GGGAGAGACAGCAGAAAAACUGUGUGUGCACUGACUUCAACUGAACACUCUGCUUAACCCAGUAUUCUGAAGUAACUGCUACUUUUUUUCACUAGUAAUAGUAAUAGAUGUAAUGCAUGGGGGAUUCAGUCUGUUCUCCAUUUAACAUUCAACAUGUGGAUUUUUUUUUUUUUUUUUUUACCCAAAGUAGUGUCACAGCACAGAUUUAGAGCAGCCUCAUGUUAAGUAUUGUCACCAGUCUGUCCUGUUAUAUAAUA